UUACUGUCCCGAUCGCGUCCUGUCAGCCUGAUUGUAGCCAUACUAGCUUCGAAGUCCCUCGUUUUAUUAUUAUCUCAGUAUAUUAAUAUAAUCAUAUUUCUAUAAUUCUUGUUGAAAAUUAUGUUUAUCCGUUCAGUUAGUGAUUUUUGUAAAUCGAUGAUUGUGUUCAGGGUCUUUUUUUGUUUCUAUUAACGUUCUAACUAGUAAGGUGGCUAGUAAUUAGCCAACGCCUCCCUCCCCUACCAAACAUGGCACUGUUUUACUCAGGGCGCUUGUAAGAGCUGACAAAGAUCACAUGACGGAUGUACAUCGUCUGGCCAAGACAAGUAGCAAAGCACCGAACUCCAAGUUAAAAACAAGGAUUCAAACUUUGUGUCCAGUUACCUUUUCAACUAUGAAGCUUCGAACAGGGCCAACGUGACAGGAGAGGUCAGCAUAAGGGUUUGCUGCUUGCUACAGGUCCAUGAGGAAAAAUGAGAAACCACACAGUUUGAGUGUAGGCUGAAAAGUCAGGUGUUUGUGACACACUAUAUGCAGGUUACACAGUCAGAGAUGAAGCCUAGUCUUAGACUAAGAAGUUCCUGUCAAUGGAGAACUGCAUUAAGAGGCAUUGCUUAGUCUAGGACUAGGCUUAACCCAUGUCUAUGAAACCGUUCUUAGUGCAGUAAUUGUUCAGAUGUUUUCCUUGCUGUUUAUGUGAGCUCUGUUAUGUUGGACGCAUUAGAUUACAUUUAAACAAGGACAUAUACCCUUAAUAGAAAAGUUUAAAUUCUUUAUUAGUUGUCCCCCCUUCCUGCCAUGCUACUGUAGCUAGGAAGCAAACGUAGCUAGCUUGCUAUCAUACAAGCUUAAUUGAUAAUAUAUCGUUAUAUUGUUAACCUAUUCGUUUACCAACAGUUCAGUUAAUGUAUAGUGCUUCUACACCUGCAUUGCUUGCUGUUUGGAGUUUUAGGCUGGGUUUCUGUACAGCACUUUGUAACAUCAGCUGAUGUAAGAAGGGCUUUAUAAAUACAUUUGAUUGAUAUUGCUGUAAUGAAUUUAGUGGCUGUUGCAUGUUGCGCCAGUCAUUUCUGUUUGCUGGUCGUGACACAUGUUGAGUGAUUUUAGUCUAAUCAUUUUCUUUUUAUAUCCCCACGUGGGUUGUACUGAAGCCCUGUGAGCCAGUAACAAUGACACAACAUCACCACACAGUUGCAUUACUUUUCCAGUCUGCACACUAAGAUGUAACACCAGUCGUCACACCUGUGCACAGCUGCACAGAGGCCGAGCAGCAGUGGCAUAAGCCAAGGACUAUGGGUCUGCAACCUGGGCCCAUAGGCAAAAUGACCAUCACCAAGCCCACAAAAAAGCGCAUGGCAGAAGGACGGAUUAGUACAUUGUUUAGAUUGGCUAACCACAGCGGCUGCUUUGCGGAAGUACACUCUACAGCGCCCUUUUUGGAACGCUCCCUGACCUUUCAGUUCUCCAGAUAGAAGAGGAAAACAAGAACUUUGACCCUCUAUCCAAGCCAUUGAUCUGCAGCAUGGGGAUGUCUGCUGAAAAGCUUUUAGCUGACUCCCACUUUGGAAAGGUAUAGGUGGGGAGCCUCCUGUCUUACCAGCAGCCUCCAAUCACAACGUGACCAUAGUUCACUAUAAGGAGACACCACCAUUCCCUUUACUGCCCCUGGGUGGCUACAGACUGGAGAGCAACUUUCAAGGCUGCACUUGUGCUCAAUGAAGAAGACCAGCUUCACAUAGUCUCUUCAGCUAUGUGACAGCCUCAAAAAUGAUACUCCUGUGUAAGGGUCUGCAGGGAA